rnacentral:rRNA from 1 species
UACGUAGGGCGCAAGCGUUAUCCGGAAUUAUUGGGGGGAAAGAGCUCGUAGGCGGUUUGUCGCGUCUGCCGUGAAAGUCCGGGGCUCAACUCCGGAUCUGCGGUGGGUACGGGCAGACUAGAGUGAUGUAGGGGAGACUGGAAUUCCUGGUGUAGCGGUGAAAUGCGCAGAUAUCAGGAGGAACACCGAUGGCGAAGGCAGGUCUCUGGGCAUUAACUGACGCUGAGGAGCGAAAUCAUGGGGAGCGAACAGG